GCCUGUCAACCAUAAUUGAGGGAGCCUUGUAAUUGUAGAUGCUACCCAAACUGUUGUGAGCAGUUUUGAUCAUAGGAUUCGUUGGUCACUCUAUUGAUAGUUGGGUUUCAUGUCUGAACUCAAGACAGUAAGAUUCCUAUGACUUUUGAACCUAAACAACAAAAUGUUCCACUGGCCCAAACCCAUCUUGCAGAAUCACUUAAUUCAUUGUCGCUCACCUA